rnacentral:tmRNA from 1 species
GGGGGCGACAGGUUUCGACGGCGUGCUGGAGGGUCUGGGGGAGCAGGUCGAGUUACGUCCGUAAUCCUCGUUAAACAUUCGGGCAAGACGAUAAACGUCGAAGAUAAUUUUGCUUUAGCGGCUUAAGCCGCUGCGUCGAGGGACAGGGCUCGUCUGCCGGCCCGCCUGAGGCGUCAUUUCUGGCGGAUGCUCUGCCCGUUUUGGUUCUGUGCGAGUGGAAAAGACAAAGGACCUUGGAAUGCGGAAGGCCGUUUCCUGCCUCCCCGCGGACGACAAUCAAACGGAAACUAAACCUGUAGCGCCGCCACGGCUGGCCCACGUCGGACGGGGGUUCGAUUCCCCCCGCCUCCAUUC